GUUCACUGGGGCUGCAGACGACUGCCCUAGACAGAGUCACUGAGAGUCGGCGCCCCAGAAAUCAGGGCUGGAACGAAGCCCAUCGGAUGUUGUCGUAAGCGAUCCGAAGGAAAGAAUGCAACCUAUCAGUUACCUCGGCUUUUGCUGGUAUUCGCGGUACCCUGGGGGCCCCCGACAGGAGCGGCAUGCCAAGGAGACGGCCUUCAGUUCUUUCUGCCGGGGCCGAGCACACGAGGCCACGGCAGAGCGGCCCCCUUGGACCUCAGAGGCAAUCACGAGGGAAGGGCCAAGAUUACCGCAGUGAUCUCAGGCCUGAAUUCUUGAGCUGCUGAACCAGAGCCUGUCAUGGCCCUGCCUCUUCACUUCUUGUGAAAGACGAAACCCAGGAGAAAAGGCCGAUGUUUGACACUUUCUGUCGUCGAGCUCCACCUUAGACGUGUAAAACCAGACGUGCGUGUGACAGAUCCAACCAGAAGGAGGCGGCACCAGUUACCUACGGAUUCUGGUCUCCGUCUCCCUCUAACCUCCCUCUAUCCUGCCACUGGCAUUUUCUUCCAUCGCUCCCGAUUCAGAGAACAGGACGCAGGCCCUUCACAACCCGGUCCAAGUCAACUGUUCCGAGUUCUAGCAAAACGCCUCAGUCCACUGAUACCUGGUCAGACUAGCCAGCUAAAUUGAGCGGUCUGAGCUUCGUAGAUAAAAGAUUCACCGAAGGACAUAAACCACCAAAAAGAAAAUCACUUCUUACACCAAAGGCAGAAAGAUCAACUCUCUGUCGCUUGGGACUCUCUUUCUUUUGAAAAGUUUUAAAACAUCUUAUAGCACAAAAGGGAAAAUGCUUUGCUAUUUUGGGCCGCUUCUUUCACUCUUGUAAAUGACAUCUGCAAUGUCAACAUUCAGCGAGAGCUAUUCGGAAUUUGGCACUUUUAAUUCAUGUGAAAAUGCCAAUUCCACUGAGUAAAGAAGAUAUUAAAGUUAUAUUCAACAUAAAGUGCAAAUAUUUCAUCAAAGUGGGUUCAGGAUAAAAAUGUUAAUUAUAUGUAAAAAUUAAAUACCACCUUAUGAAUCACU